CCUACGGGGGGCAGCAGUAGGGAAUUUUCGGCAAUGGCGGGAACCCUGACCGAGCAACGCCGCGUGAACGUAGAUGUUAUUCGUAAUGUAAAGUUCUUUUAACCGGGAAGAAAGAGAAAUUUGACGGUACCUGCAGAAUAAGCUCCGGCUAACUCCGUGCCAGAAGCCGCGGUAAUACGUAGGGAGCGAGCGUUAUCCGGAAUUAUUGGGCGAAAAGGGUGCGUAGAUGGCAUAGUAAGUCUUUUGUAAACAUGCUGGGCUCAACCCAGUAGGGCAAAAGAUACUGCAAAGCUAGAGUAUGACAGAGGCAAGUGGAACUACAUGUGUAGCGGUAAAAUGCGUAAAUAUAUGUAAGAACACCAGUGGCGAAGGCGGCUUGCUGGGUCGAUACUGACAUUGAGGCACGAAAGCGUGGGGAGCAAACAGGAUUAGAUACCCGGGUAGUC
rnacentral:rRNA from 1 species